UGCACUCGUUGAUUCUUGAGGGGGGUUCUUCCUAGUACGAGAGGACCGGAAGGAGGCGACCUCUGGUCUACCUGCUGUUCCGCCAGGAGCACCGCAGGGUAGCUAUGUCGUUGAGUGAUAAGCGCUGAAAGCAUCUAAGCGCGAAGCACGCCCCAAGAUUAGGAAUCGUUAUCAGAUCCGUGGAAGACUACCACGUUGAUAGGCUCCAGGUGUAAGAUCCGCAAGGAUUUCAGCCGAGGAGUACUAAUAGAUCGAGCCGUCUUGUUAG
rfam:Parcubacteria bacterium GW2011_GWC1_45_13 TW93_C0011, whole genome shotgun sequence.